CGAAUCGGGUAGACGCUACGGACUUAAAAUCCGUCGAUUUUAAAAUCGUGAGGGUUCAAGUCCCUCUAUCCCCA
rnacentral:tRNA from 1 species